ensembl:lncRNA
AGAUACUUGUACUUCUCUUAUGGCGCUUGUUACCAUCUUGUACUUUGAUUGUCGUUUGUGUACAUUUCUUACCUCUUCUAAACUGUUCAUCUGAGAGGGACUAACCAAAAGUUCAUGUCCUCCUUUUCAGAAGCUCUGAAAGCAUCCUCUCCUCUUUUUCCUCCUUUUUUUCUCUCUCACUUUUUGGCAGACCUGACUAGCAAAGCUGUCCUGGGGCACAGGCAUCUCUUGUCCUCAUUGUCUCUUUGGAAGAGACAUACACAUUCUUCCACUAUUUUCAGCCUUUUAAAGCCCCAUAUACUCCGCCUACUUGCGAUCAUAAUGAGCUUCGGCUGUGGAAUGGGGAAACAGGCUGGUAGGUGGCGUCAAUGAGUGUGGGUGAGAUUCUGCAGACCUAGAAUUUAUUUGAUUCUGCCCUGAAGUUUUUCAAAGCUUACUUUUCUACUGUUAUCCGUUCUGGAGUUUCUUUUCUUCUGGUAGGGUGAUCAGGAACAUAGAGAUCUGCUGUCAGAACCGACUUGAGAAUACAGAUCAAUUGAUUCCUUGCAGCCACUGUGAUGUGUAAAAGGAACAGUUGAAAGAGACAUGAUGUCAGCUCAUUACUUCUGCCCCACAGGCUGCAAACAGCCACAAAUAUGACAAGCCGGGUGAACAAGGGAGGGAGGAGGUCAGUAGUGACCUCAUCCCCCCACAGCUACUCAUUAUUCUAAUUAUUCUGAGGACCACAGCCACUUCUCAGUGUGAGACCACAGGUCCUCUUACUUCAGAACGUCCUGGGGUGAUUGUUAAAACUUUGCCUCCCAAACCUCCAGCCUAAGGACCCGUACUCCUGGGGUGGCUGUGACGCUGCAGCUUUAACAAGCUCCCCAGGCGGUGCUCAUGCUGUCUUCAUCCCCGGCCUACUGAACUACACACCCCUACCUUCGGGUCUCAGUAAAUCCUCCACGCUGCACUGCCGUCCACGGUCGCCAUCACAGCACAAGGACCAAGAACUUGGGUGAGGUCAGAGCCUGGCUUGGCCACAUACUGGAAAUCCAGAAGCUCUCUGUCUGCUAGAUGCAUGCCAGGAGCUGCUGACAGUCAUCUUGCCACCCUGAGAGAAGACGUUCUUGAAGAUGGAGCCAUCACAGACUGGAGAAUGAGGAGAUGGAGGCACCAGAAAAGUGGAGCAAGGCUACCACCAUCCUCACAGGACUAACCCGAAAGUUUAACCAAGGGAUAAAAAUGCUUCAAAGUUGACAACGGGGUGAUCAGGGACAGAAGAGCACAGCCACGCGGGAGAGAAGCUUCCAGUUCUCACAGGAGGCAAGGGCGACACUCAACAGCAGUUCAUGCUCUCAGGAACUUCGGGUUUUCAGUGCAAAGAUAAAACAAUCCUACUGACGGACCUGCUUGAAGAAGGCAGCCUCACUUCUCCUAAUUCUUGACUGCUGUUGUAAGGGGUUCCUUUUCCCCAAACAGUGGGACUUGUGACCUGACUUAGUGUAUGAUACUUUCCUAGUAUCCUUGGAAGUCGUUAAAACCUGUUACCCAAUUAACAGCCAUGCUCAUAAAUGCAUAUUUUCUUAAUAGGAAAAGCACAGGGCUUCCUUCAACAACAAUUAUAGUAUCAGUGGGUAACCUGUCUGGAGAGGCUUCCUAUGAUGCUGGACAUCAUUCUAAGCAGUUUUUUCUUGUUUUGCUACACCACUCUGCAUGUGGGAUCUUAGUUCCCCAACCAGGGAUUGAACCCAUGCCCCUUAUAUUUGAAGGGGGGGAAUCUUAACUGCUGGACCACCCUGGAAGUCCUUUAAGUCCUUAUCAAAAGUCAGUGCAGUGGGGACUAUCUUACAGAAGACAUAAUGGAGGCACAGAGAGGUUAAAUAAAUUGCCAAAAGCCACACAGCUCACCUCGAUCAUCACCUCUGUGUCCAGAGGCCUUCCUAAUGACAAUACAGGCAUCUCCAGAUAAGACUGUGGACUAGGAAACCCUUGCCCUCUCCUGGCCUGAUUUAUAGACCUGGCUGUGAGAGUUUGACAGCCCUGACGAACAGGGCUGCUGAGCACGCUGGUGGCCAGUUGGAAAAAUACACGAAGCCAGGGAGUGGAAGGAGGCCUGGCCGCCUGGUGGGCUCUGAGUCACAUAGGUCAGCGGGAGCUGGCCCACUCAGCCUGUCACCCUCAGCUGUCUCUCUGCUGCACACGGAGCCAGGGCUUGGAGAUGGGAACUGCGAUUUAUAAGCUCUCAGGCAAAAUCAACUUUCGGGUGAAGAAAACCCACAUACCCGAGGGUAAAUACAUAUGCCAUUCUUACUGCCAAGACCUGGUACAUCUGGAUUAUCCACAAAAUGGGAAAUUACCAAGCGGUAUGCCCAUUUGUGAAGUAAGACACUCAAGCCAAAACAACCCUCAGAUUCUUUCCCCAGGUAGGUUAUUACAGAAUAUUGAGUGGAGUUCCCUGUGUUAUACACUGCUGCUGCUGCUAAGUUGCUUCAGUCGUGUCCGACUCUGUGUGACCCCAUAGACGGCAACCCACCAGGCUCCCCCAUCCCUGGGAUUCUCCAGGCAAGAACACUGGAGUGGGUUGCCAUUGCCUGCUCCAGUGCAUGAAAAUGAAAAGUGAAAGUGAAGUUGCUCAGUCAUGUCCGACUCUUCUCGACCCCAUGGAC